rnacentral:tRNA from 4 species
GCCUUCUUGGCUUAGCUGGCAGAGCGUCCGCCUAGUAAGCGGAAGGUCACCAGUUCGAUUCUGGUAGAAGGCA